rnacentral:rRNA from 1 species
CCUACGGGAGGCUGCAGUGGGGAAUAUUGCACAAUGGGGGAAACCCUGAUGCAGCAACGCCGCGUGAGUGAAGAAGGUUUUCGGAUUGUAAAGCUCUGUUAGCAGGGAAGAGGAAGGACGGUACCUGCAGAGGAAGCCACGGCUAACUACGUGCCAGCAGCCGCGGUAAUACGGAGGAUGCGAGCGUUAUCCGGAUUUAUUGGGUUUAAAGGGUGCGUAGGCGGAUCGUUAAGUCAGUGGUCAAAUUGAGGGGCUCAACCCCUUCCCGCCAUUGAAACUGGCGUUCUUGAGUGGAAGAGAAGUAUGCGGAAUGCGUGGUGUAGCGGUGAAAUGCAUAGAUAUCACGCAGAACCCCGAUUGCGAAGGCAGCAUGCCGGCUUCCGACUGACGCUGAAGCACGAAAGCGUGGGGAUCGAACAGGAUUAGAUACCCGUGUAGUC